AAAUUGACGGGGACCCGCACAAGCGGUGGAUGAUGUGGUUUAAUUCGAUGCAACGCGAAAAACCUUACCCACCUUUGACAUGUACGGAACUCGCCAGAGAUGGCUUGGUGCUCGAAAGAGAACCGUAACACAGGUGCUGCAUGGCUGUCGUCAGCUCGUGUCGUGAGAUGUUGGGUUGAGUCCCGCAACGAGCGCAACCCUCGUCAUUAGUUGCUACAUUUAGUUGGGCACUCUAAUGAGCCUGCCGGUGACAAGCCGGAGGAAGGUGGGGAUGACGUCAAGUCCUCAUGGCCCUUAUAGGUGGGGCUACACACGUCAUACAAUGGCUGGUACAGAGGGUUGCCAACCCGCGAGGGGGAGCUAAUCCCAUAAAACCAGUCGUAGUCCGGAUCGCAGUCUGCAACUCGACUGCGUGAAGUCGGAAUCGCUAGUAAUCGCGGAUCAGAAUGUCGCGGUGAAUACGUUCCCGGGUCUU
rnacentral:rRNA from 1 species